UCCGAGUUGACCCCGGCAGUCUUCGAUGAGUCCCCGCCAUAACGCGCUGGCAACAUCGAACGAGGGUUGCGCUCGUUGCGGGACUUAACCCAACAUCUCACGACACGAGCUGACGACAGCCAUGCAGCACCUGUGCAGGGACUCCGAAGAGGGGCCCCGGUUUCUCGAGGCUUUCCCCUGCAUGUCAAGCCCAGGUAAGGUUCUUCGCGUUGCGUCGAAUUAAACCACAUACUCCACCGCUUGUGCGGGCCCCCGUCAAUUCCUUCGAGUUUUAGCCUUGCGGCCGUAGUCCCCAGGCGGAGCACUUAUCGCGUUAGCUGCGCUACCGGAGGGGUCGAUACCCCCGACAGCUAGUGCUCAUCGUUUACGGCGUGGACUAC
rnacentral:misc_RNA from 1 species